UUGCAUAUCAAUAAGCGGAGGAAAAGAAACCAACAGGGAUUGCCUUAGUAGCGGCGAGUGAAGCGGCAAAAGCUCAAAUUUGAAAUCUGGCACUUUCAGUGUCCGAGUUGUAAUUUGAAGAAGGUAUCUUUGGGUCUGGCUCUUGUCUAUGUUUCUUGGAACAGAACGUCACAGAGGGUGAGAAUCCCGUGCGAUGAGAUGUCCCAGACCUAUGUAAAGUUCCUUCGAAGAGUCGAGUUGUUUGGGAAUGCAGCUCUAAGUGGGUGGUAAAUUCCAUCUAAAGCUAAAUAUUGGCGAGAGACCGAUAGCGAACAAGUACAGUGAUGGAAAGAUGAAAAGAACUUUGAAAAGAGAGUGAAAAAGUACGUGAAAUUGUUGAAAGGGAAGGGCUUGAGAUCAGACUUGGUAUUUUGUAUGUUACUCUCUCGGGGGUGGCCUCUACAGUUUACCGGGCCAGCAUCAGUUUGAGCGGUAGGAUAAGUGCAAAGAAAUGUGGCACUGCUUCGGUAGUGUGUUAUAGUCUUUGUCGAUACUGCCAGCUUAGACUGAGGACUGCGGCUUCGGCCUAGGAUGUUGGCAUAAUGAUCUUAAGUCGCCCGUCUUGAAACACGGACCA
rnacentral:rRNA from 1 species